CCUACGGGCGGCUGCAGUGGGGGAUAUUGCACAAUGGGGGAAACCCUGAUGCAGCGACGCCGCGUGAGUGAUGAAGUAUUUCGGUAUGUAAAGCUCUAUCAGCAGGGAAGAAAAAAGACGGUACCUGACUAAGAAGCCCCGGCUAACUACGUGCCAGCAGCCGCGGUAAUACGUAGGGGGCAAGCGUUAUCCGGAUUUACUGGGGGUAAAGGGAGCGUAGACGGCAGUGCAAGUCGGAAGUGAAAUCCCGGGGCUCAACCUGGGAACUGCAUUGGAAACUGUAUGGCUAGAGUGCUGGAGAGGUAAGCGGAAUUCCUAGUGUAGCGGUGAAAUGCGUAGAUAUUAGGAGGAACACCAGUGGCGAAGGCGGCUUACUGGACAGUAACUGACGUUGAGGCUCGAAAGCGUGGGGAGCAAACAGGAUUAGAUACCCUAGUAGUC
rnacentral:rRNA from 1 species